UACAGAGGGGGCAAGCGUUAAUCGGAAUUACUGGGCGUAAAGCGCGCGUAGGUGGUUUGUUAAGUUGGAUGUGAAAUCCCCGGGCUCAACCUGGGAACUGCAUCCAAAACUGGCAAGCUAGAGUAUGGUAGAGGGUAGUGGAAUUUCCUGUGUAGCGGUGAAAUGCGUAGAUAUAGGAAGGAACACCAGUGGCGAAGGCGACCACCUGGACUGAUACUGACACUGAGGUGCGAAAGCGUGGGGAGCAAACAGG
rnacentral:rRNA from 1 species